rnacentral:rRNA from 1 species
CUGGCUCAGGAUGAACGCUGGCGGCGUGCUUAACACAUGCAAGUCGAACGGGAAUACUUUUAGCUUGCUAAGUUGUAAUUCUAGUGGCGGACGGGUGAGUAACGCGUGGGUAACCUGCCUUAUACAGGGGGACAACAGUUGGAAACGACUGCUAAUACCGCAUAAGCGCACAGAUAGGCAUCUAUCAGUGUGAAAAACUCCGGUGGUAUAAGAUGGACCCGCGUCUGAUUAGCUAGUCGGUGAGGUAACGGCCCACCAAGGCGACGAUCAGUAGCCGGCCUGAGAGGGCAAUCGGCCACAUUGGGACUGAGACACGGCCCAAACUCCUACGGGAGGCAGCAGUGGGGAAUAUUGCACAAUGGAGGAAACUCUGAUGCAGCGACGCCGCGUGAGUGAAGAAGUAUUUCGGUAUGUAAAGCUCUAUCAGCAGGAAAGAAAAUGACGGUACCUGACUAAGAAGCCCCGGCUAACUACGUGCCAGCCGCCGC